rnacentral:rRNA from 1 species
UGCAGCCGAGCGGUAGAGUCUCUUCGGAGACUUGAGAGCGGCGCACGGGUGCGGAACACGUGUGCAACCUGCCUUUAUCUGGGGGAUAGCCUUUCGAAAGGAAGAUUAAUACCCCAUAAUAUAUUAGAUGGCAUCAUUUGAUAUUGAAAACUCCGGUGGAUAGAGAUGGGCACGCGCAAGAUUAGAUAGUUGGUGAGGUAACGGCUCACCAAGUCUGCGAUCUUUAGGGGGCCUGAGAGGGUGAUCCCCCACACUGGUACUGAGACACGGACCAGACUCCUACGGGAGGCAGCAGUGAGGAAUAUUGGACAAUGGGUGAGAGCCUGAUCCAGCCAUCCCGCGUGAAGGACGACGGCCCUAUGGGUUGUAAACUUCUUUUGUAUAGGGAUAAACCUAGAUACGUGUAUCUAGCUGAAGGUACUAUACGAAUAAGCACCGGCUAACUCCGUGCCAGCAGCCGCGGUAAUACGGAGGGUGCAAGCGUUAUCCGGAUUUAUUGGGUUUAAAGGGUCCGUAGGCGGAUCUGUAAGUCAGUGGUGAAAUCUCACAGCUUAACUGUGAAACUGCCAUUGAUACUGCAGGUCUUGAGUGUUGUUGAAGUAGCUGGAAUAAGUAGUGUAGCGGUGAAAUGCAUAGAUAUUACUUAGAACACCAAUUGCGAAGGCAGGUUACUAAGCAACAACUGACGCUGAUGGACGAAAGCGUGGGGAGCGAACAGGAUUAGAUACCCUGGUAGUCCACGCCGUAAACGAUGCUAACUCGUUUUUGGGCUUUCGGGUUCAGAGACUAAGCGAAAGUGAUAAGUUAGCCACCUGGGGAGUACGUUCGCAAGAAUGAAACUCAAAGGAAUUGACGGGGGCCCGCACAAGCGGUGGAUUAUGUGGUUUAAUUCGAUGAUACGCGAGGAACCUUACCAAGGCUUAAAUGGGAAAUGACAGGUUUAGAAAUAGACUUUUCUUCGGACAUUUUUCAAGGUGCUGCAUGGUUGUCGUCAGCUCGUGCCGUGAGGUGUUAGGUUAAGUCCUGCAACGAGCGCAACCCCUGUCACUAGUUGCCAUCAUUAAGUUGGGGACUCUAGUGAGACUGCCUACGCAAGUAGAGAGGAAGGUGGGGAUGACGUCAAAUCAUCACGGCCCUUACGCCUUGGGCCACACACGUAAUACAAUGGCCAGUACAGAGGGCAGCUACACAGCGAUGUGAUGCAAAUCUCGAAAGCUGGUCUCAGUUCGGAUUGGAGUCUGCAACUCGACUCUAUGAAGCUGGAAUCGCUAGUAAUCGCGCAUCAGCCAUGGCGCGGUGAAUACGUUCCCGGGCCUUGUACACACCGCCCGUCAAGCCAUGGAAGUCUGGGGUACCUGAAGUCGGUGACCGUAAUAGGAGC